UCAUCCGAUCACCGAAGUUAAGCAACCUCGAGCCUAGUCAAUAAUUAGAUAGAUGACCGCUUGGGAAUAUCGGGUGCUGCAAGC